AGCGAACGCUGGCGGCAGGCCUAACACGUGCAAGUCGAACGGAUCCUUCGGGAUUAGUGGCGGACGGGUGAGUAACACGUGGGAACGUGCCCUUUGGUUCGGAACAACUCAGGGAAAUUUGAGCUAAUACCGGAUGUGCCCUUCGGGGGAAAGAUUUAUCGCCAUUGGAGCGGCCCGCGUCUGAUUAGCUAGUUGGUGAGGUAAAGGCUCACCAAGGCGACGAUCAGUAGCUGGUCUGAGAGGAUGAUCAGCCACAUUGGGACUGAGACACGGCCCAAACUCCUACGGGAGGCAGCAGUGGGGAAUCUUGCGCAAUGGGCGAAAGCCUGACGCAGCCAUGCCGCGUGAAUGAUGAAGGUCUUAGGAUUGUAAAAUUCUUUCACCGGGGACGAUAAUGACGGUACCCGGAGAAGAAGCCCCGGCUAACUUCGUGCCAGCAGCCGCGGUAACAC
rnacentral:rRNA from 1 species